AUCUAGCGAAAGAAGCCCAAAUAGGACGAAACGCUCGUCCUAGAU
rnacentral:hammerhead_ribozyme from 1 species